rnacentral:rRNA from 1 species
AGUUCGAUCCUGGCUCCAGAUUGAACGCUGGCGUGGAUGCUUUACACAUGCAAGUCGAACGGCAGCACGGACUUCGGUCUGGUGGCGAGUGGCGAACGGGGUGAGCAAUGUAUCGGAACGUGCCUAGUAGCGGGGAUAACUACGCGAAAGCGUAGCUAAUACCGCAUACGCCCUUCGGGGAAAGCGGGGGACCUUCGGGCCUCGCACUAUUAGAGCGGCCGAUAUCGGAUUAGCUAGUUGGUGGGGUAACGGCUCACCAAGGCGACGAUCCGUAGCUGGUUUGAGAGGACGACCAGCCACACUGGGACUGAGACACGGCCCAGACUCCACGGAGGCAGCAGUGGGGAAUUUUGGACAAUGGGGGAAACUCCCGAUCCAGCCAUCCCGCGUGUGCGAUGAAGGCCUUCGGGCUGCAAAGAAUUUUUGGCAGCAGGGAAAGAAACGGCACGGGAUAAUACCCCGUGCAACUAACGGUACCUGCAGAAUAAGCACCGGCUAACUACGUGCCAGCAGCCGCGGUAAUACGUAGGGUGCAAGCGUUAAUCGGAAUUACGGGCGUAAAGCGUGCGCAGGCGGUUCGGAAAGAAAGAUGUGAAAUCCCAGAGCUUAACUUUGGAACUGCAUUUUUAACUACCGAGCUAGAGUGUCAGAGGGAGGUGGAAUUCGCGUGUAGCAGUGAAAUGCGUAGAUAUGCGGAGGAACACCGAUGGCGAAGGCAGCUCUGGGAUAACACUGACGCUCAUGCACGAAAGCGUGGGGAGCAAACAGGAUUAGAUACCCUGGUAGUCCACGCCCUAAACGAUGUCAACUUAGCUGUUGGGGCCUUCGGGCCUUGGUAGCGCAGCUAACGCGUGAAGUUGACCGCCUGGGGAGUACGGUCGCAAGAUUAAACUCAAAGGAAUUGACGGGGACCCGCACAAGCGGUGGAUGAUGUGGAUUAAUUCGAUGCAACGCGAAAACCUUACCUACCCUUGACAUGUCUGGAAUCCCGAAGAGAUUUGGGAGUGCUCGCAAGAGAACCGGAACACAGGUGCCGCAUGGCUGUUGUCGUCAGCUCGUGUCGUGAGAUGCUGGGUUAAGUCCCGCAACGAGCGAAGCAAACCCUUGUCAUUAGUUGCUACGAAAGGGCACUCUAAUGAGACUGCCGGUGACAAACCGGAGGAAGGUGGGGAUGACGUCAAGUCCUCAUGGCCCUUAUGGGUAGGCUUCACACGUCAUACAAUGGUCGGGACAGAGGGUCGCCAACCCGCGAGGGGGAGCCAAUCCCAGAAACCCGAUCGUAGUCCGGAUCGCAGUCUGCAACUCGACUGCGUGAAGUCGGAAUCGCCAGCAAUCGCGGAUCAGCAUGUCGCGGUGAAUACGUUCCCGGGUCUGUACACACCGCCCGUCACACCAUGGGAGUGGGUUUUACCAGAAGUAGUUAGCCUGGAACCGUAAGGAGGGCGAUUACCACGGUAGGAUUCAUGACUGGGGUGAAGUCGUAACAAGGUAA